rnacentral:rRNA from 1 species
GUCACACUCCUGCAAUAUAAACUUUUAAAUGGCAAGUAACAAUAAUAUAAUUUAUUACGGUGAAAUGUUUACACUACCAACCAUAAUUUUGGCCUAUUUAUAUAAUACUGACCAUAAACAAGGAUUAGAUACCCUUCUAUACAGUACACACACUACUUGCUGAGCACUAGGGCCUCAAAGGUUAAAACUCAAAUAACAUGGCGGUAACCUUCUCUUAGGGGAACUUGCCCAAUAAAUGAUAACCACCAAGGUUAACCAAUUUUAUAUAAUUCUUGUAUGCCGUCGUCGUCAGAUAACACUUAAUGUAUUAUCAAAACCAUUUAGUGUAAAAGCCAGAUCAAGGUGCAGACCAUUAUAAAGCUUAAGGUGAGUUACAAUUAAAAAAUUAUGCAGAAAGUAUAGAAGUACUACAUACUUAAGGCGGACUUAAUAGUAAUAUAAAUUUUUUAUAGUAUAUGAAAUUAACAAAAGGUUGUGCACAA